rnacentral:lncRNA from 1 species
GAAAGGCAGCCUCACUUCUCCUUAAUGAAAUAUCAAUUUAAGUUUUUGUGUUCUUGGUGACAAAGCUAAAGCUUCUUCUCUUCUUUACUUUCUUGUUCAAUAAAGCUUUAAUAAGCUAUCUUCAUUUCUGUUUAAAUAAAGCUCUUUGAGCUCAAUCUUUCUAGUUUCUUAAACACUUACAUGGUAUCAGAGCUUCAGUCGGUUCAUGGAACUUCUGGGUUUUUAAUCUCUUGAGCUCACCACAGCUUUCUCCUCACGUGAAGCUACCGUUUCUCUCUCUUCACAGACCAUCAAUCACGGCAUACAAAGCAUCUUCUCAACUGGUUCUGCUUCUCACCACAACCGUUGGAUUUGGAGCCAAGUCUAAACCUCCAGAUUUCAGCCUUUAUUCAUGAAGCCAUCAUGCUUCUCACGUGAAAAAAAAAAAAUCAAGGUAAUUUCCUUGCUCUAAGACAGAACAGAACUUAGAGAACUGUCGUUAAGUUAUAGUUUGAUAGGAUAAUGCUGGUUUGGUUUAGUGGUCUGGAAUUCAGAAGCUGUGAUGAAUUAUGUUGUCGUUUGGGUUAGUUUUAGAUCAAGUUUCUGCUGAUUUUCAAGAGUAUGAUGAGUGCACACAAGUUGUUCGAUAGAAUGCCAAACGAAAAGCAGAAGGUCAUAUGCAGAGUCUAGUUAGUUAUGGAUGGAAGAUAGAUAGUGGGAAAGAUCAAAGUUGUUGUGGGAAGGUCCAUUUUUGUUAUCAGACAAGUUUGAUGAGUUACACGGGUCAGAAAAGAACCCGGACUCUUUGUGAGAAAGAAAGGUCACAUUGUACCUCUGAGUGAGAUCGACUAAGCUCUCCAAGUUCAAGAGAAACCUCUGAGUGAAGCCAUGCGAUACUCUCCAAGUAUAGACCAACAAUCUCUUCUAUGUGAUGAAUUGAAGAUUACACCUAUAGCUUCAUGUGAUCAUGCUUCCACUACUUAUUCCACCAAGCCAUCUGCAUUUGAGGUUCAAACUCAGCAUCUUGCUUUCAUCCGACGCUAAGUUUGCGGGGGAGUAUUAGAGUACACAAGACAAGCCCAAGACAAUACCAACAAGCCCAUUUCUAUGUUAUAAACCCAUGUGUGUUAGGGUUCCUUUGCAAGUGAGUUAGUAGUAUAAAUAGGAUUGUAAUGUGUUGUGACAAAGCAACUUUGCUGCCGUGAAAGGCAGCCUCACUUCUCCUUAAUGAAAUAUCAAUUUAAGUUUUUGUGUUCUUGGUGACAAAGCUAAAGCUUCUUCUCUUCUUUACUUUCUUGUUCAAUAAAGCUUUAAUAAGCUAUCUUCAUUUCUGUUUAAAUAAAGCUCUUUGAGCUCAAUCUUUCUAGUUUCUUAAACACUUACAGAACUGUUCUCGAAUCUUCACUAAUGUUAAUCAAUGAACUUGAUGUUUUCAUUCCAACAGCAUAUGAAGCCUUCUUUAAACACAUAUUGUAGUUUGCUAAUUGCAUAGUGUAGGUUAUCUAUUAAGGAAUUUAUUUGGUUAUUAUAGGUAUAAUUAUCCAUUUUACUUGCUCUAUACUCUUCAUGAGACCAAACCUAAAGAAGAGAAAGUUGUGAUAUUUAUAGGCACAACAUGAGAGGCACGAGAACUCGAUUCUGAAGUCAGACAACGACAAGCUCAGAGCAGAGAACAAUAGGUACAAGGAUGCUCUAAGCAACGCAACAUGCCCAAACUGUGGUGGUCCUGCUGCUAUAGGAGAAAUGUCGUUCGACGAACAGCAUUUAAGGAUUGAAAACGCACGUCUACAUGAAGAAAUCGAUAGAAUCUCUUUUAUAGCUGCUAAGUACGUAGGGAAGCCAAUGUUGCCUCAUUCCUCGCCUUUCUCUCAGCUCACAACGUCAACACACAUUCCCACGCGCUCGCUUGAUCUUGAAGUUGGGAGCUUUGGGAACAAUAACAGUAGCCAGACAGGGUUUGUAGGAGACAUAUAUGGAACAAACGACAUAAUGAGGUCGGUUUCGAUCCCAUGUGAGUCAGAUAAGCCUAUGAUUGUUGAGUUAGCGGUUGCAGCCAUGGAAGAGCUUGUGAGAAUGGCUCAAACCGGUGAUCCCUUGUGGGUUUCAAGCGAUAGUUCGGGUGAGAUUCUCAAUGAAGAUGAGUAUUUUCGAACGUUCCCUAGAGGAAUUGGACCUAAACCUAUCGGUUUGAGAUCAGAAGCUUCUAGAGAGUCAACGGUUGUUAUCAUGAAUCAAAUCAACCUCGUUGAGAUUCUUAUGGAUGUGGUAUCAAAUCUGUUUCCUUAUCUUCUCAAAGUUUAAGAAAGUUUGUAACAUUUAGCUGACAUAAUCUCUCUCUCUCUCCUCUCUCUGUAUAGAAUCAAUGGUCUAGUGUGUUCUGCGGGAUUGUAUCGAGAGCAUUGACGUUAGACGUUCUCUCUACGGGCGUUGCUGGAAACUACAACGGGGCGCUACAAGUGGUAUGAGACUUUUAAAAGAUUUCUUGCUUCACAAGUUAUUAUUCUAUUAUUCUGAAAGUGGUAUAAGACCUAAAAGAUUACUUACUCUACAAGCUAUUAGUCUAUUAUUCUAAAUCAUGUAUUAAUCAAUAUCCCUUGUGUGUUUGGUCUUUAUUUUCUUGUACGCAAAGCUGACAGCAGAGUUUCAAGUCCCAUCACCGCUUGUCCCAACACGUGAGAACUACUUUGUUAGGUACUGCAAGCAGCAUAGUGACACUACUUGGGCGGUUGUUGAUGUGUCUUUGGACAGCCUACGACCGAGUCCGAUCACUAGAAGCAGAAGAAGACCCUCUGGUUGUGUGAUUCAAGAAUUGCAGAAUGGCUAUUCCAAGGUAACUUUAAAGUAUAUAUAUCAAUGUGUGGUCGAGAAUUUGAAAAGAAAUGAGUUGAUGGGGUGAUGGGUUUUUGUGAUUGUUGAAGGUGACUUGGGUAGAACAUACGGAGGUCGAUGAUAUAUCGGUUCAUACCAUGUAUAAACCGUUGGUUAAUACCGGUUUAGCUUUUGGUGCGAAACGUUGGGUGGCUACACUUGACCGCCAAUGUGAGCGGCUCGCCAGCUCCAUGGCCAGCAACAUUCCAACCGGUGAUCUUUCCGGUACGUAAUAAUGUAUUACACACAUCAAAUAAGAUCAUUUAAGGGCUAUAUUGAUAAAUUCAUAAAUUUUUGGAUUAAAUUGAGAAAGGAGUAUUUACGUAUACGGUCCUUUUAUUUUUGUGGUAAUUAUGAAUAAGUGAUAACGAGUCCUGAGGGGAGGAAGAGCAUGCUGAAACUAGCGGAGAGGAUGGUGAUGAGCUUCUGUAGCGGAGUGGGCGCGUCGACUGCGCACGCAUGGUCGACACUUGCUGCCACAGGAUCCGACGACGUUAGGGUCAUGACCAGAAAGAGCAUGGAUGAUCCGGGAAGGCCUCCGGGUAUCGUCUUGAGCGCCGCUACUUCGUUUUGGAUACCAAUGGGACUUAAACGAGUGUUCGAUUUUCUCAGAGACGAAAACUCUAGAAGCCAGGUAAAGAAGAUACUUUUUUUUUAACUUUCUUUACCGAGAAAUAAUUUGGGCAGGCUUAAACCAUGAUUAAUUCCAGUUUCUUAACUGAGGUUUUUGACUUCGGCUAAGAGAUGGUUUUUCAUUUUUUUUUAGAUUUUAAUUAAGAAAAGAUAAGAAUCUCUUAAAUAGAUAUAAGAGCUGUCUUUUAAUGGAAAAGUGUAAAAAAUAAAAGACAAAAAAAUGUUAAAUCAUAAGUUAAAAAUCUCGAUUAAGAGACCGGGGUUAAUUAUGCCCUUAGAACACAAAUAACCAGAACCGAAAACUAGGCCGGAACUGACCCGAAAUAACCCAGUUUGGUUCGGUUUUCAGUAUAAUCAUAAUAUCAGAUGGUUCCAAAGCACUAUUAUGAUAUUCUCCGUGGGUAUUGGUUCGGCCGAAUGAUUUGAAAAUUUGGGUAUUGUAUGUUAUUUUGGGUACAAUGUAUUAUUAGUUUUCGGCUAUACUAUUGUAUUUUGAUAUCGUUUUUUGUUUUUUUCAUGAUUUUUUUUAAUUUUUAAAAAGUCUUUUGGGUAUUCUUUUUGUUUUCAGCAUUUCGGAUAGUACUAUUUUGGAUUUUUGAGUAGAAAAUACCCGAACCAAACCAUAUUAAAAAUUCUUUUGGAUGUUUUUCUGGUUUUAAAAUUAAAAACCAAACUGAUUUGAAACUGAAAAGAACCAAUUCUAUAGUAUUUACGGGUUUGAAACUCUUACCCACCCAAAAGGUUUGGAACCAAUCGGUUUGGUUUUACAGACCUGAAUAUCUGAACCUCAGGCCUAAAUGUGGGUUUGAUUUUGCAGUGGGAUAUACUUUCAAACGGAGGCUUGGUUGAAGAAAUGGCUCAUAUCGCAAAUGGUCGGGACCCUGGGAACUCUGUCUCCUUGCUCCGAGUCAAUGUACGAAUCUUUCUUACGAAGGCUUUGAUGUUUUACGCUAUGUUUGUUUUAAACAAGCUUUUUGUUUGGUUUUGUUCAGAGCUCGAACUCAGGAGAGAGCAACAUGUUGAUCUUACAAGAAAGCUGUACGGACGCAUCAGGAUCCUACGUGAUAUACGCACCAGUCGACAUGAUGGCUAUGAACGUUGUCCUGAGCGGAGGUGAUCCAGAUUACGUCGCUUUGUUACCAUCCGGGUUCGCUAUACUGCCUGAUGGCUCUACAAGAGGAGGGAAUGCUAGUGUCGUAGCUGAAGGAGAAGUGGUUACUUCCACAGCAAGUAACUGCGGCUCACUACUCACUGUAGCGUUUCAGAUACUUGUUGACUCUGUUCCAACGGCUAAACUAUCUCUAGGCUCAGUGGCUACAGUCAACAGUCUCAUCAAAUGCACUGUACAGCGGAUCAAAGAUGCCUUGGCAUGUGACGGAGCUUGAAGUUUUUCAGGUAGGCAAUGCUCUAUAUGGUUAUUAUUCAGAUAGUCACAUCUUCUUGAUCCAUUAAAGCGAGAUCUUUAACAAAUGUUUUGGUUUAUAUUUCUGCAGAAGUAAGAGAGGAGAAAGCAAAGGAAGGUGUAGGAGUUUUUUCGUGGUGAUAUUUGUUUCUUGUUUCAAUAAUCUUUUGAGAGUCUCCAAAGGAAGUCAAGAACGCACCUUCUCGCGUUUAAAUCUCAUUGCGCGUUUGUUUGCGGGUGGGGCAAAAAGAGGCCUGAGAAAGGGUAAAUUGAGGUUCGGGUAUUGACUUCUGCUGGGAACAAAAAAAGGUUUGUUGUGCUUCAGGCGAUUUUGCGUUUGCGUUUGCAUUUACUAUGUGACUAUUUUAUCUUCCACUAGUGGACAUCUUCGCAUUUUGCGUAUUGCGUCUAGUCUACUUUUUAAGUGUAUCCUUGUACUCUUUGUUAUCAAGCCACUUUGGUACUAUAAUAUUGACGAUGAAACUGUGUUUAUCACUUUUUUUUUUUGAAACUUAUCUUUAUUACUUCCAUAUUUAUCAGAGAUAAUAAUUUUUACAUAUAUUUUUAAAAUAAGCAAUUUUCAACUAUAUAAAUGUAUAAUCUUCUUAAGCUAAAUAAUUUUCUAUGACUUAGUUUCAGCCAAUAGCAAUUCAAAAAUAUAAUUAUAAUAAAAAAAAUCUGUUAUUAUUAACUUAACACAACAAGCAUCGAAAACCUUAGAAGUAUAUAAAUGCUAAAAAAAUUAUAACAAAAAGAGAUCAUUUUGGCUUGUCCACUUAUUGAAGAUAACAGUGGCAACUUUGGCUACCAUGAUGUACGAAGUGUCCAUUUACGGAGGACAACAAUGCAACGAUGUUGCAAUCAUUUGUGAUAUACGUGCUUUGUUACAAGUAAGAAGCUGUUUUAUGUAUUGGGUAUAUCUCUAUUAUGUUGUUCGACUUUAACUCAAAUCAAAGCCCUAACUCUGUUUUGGCGCAGGUCUAUUCCUCUCUCGUUUCAUAACUGAUGGAUGAUCCCAUGGAAUCUUCUGGUGAAGAGGUAAUGGGGUUCACGUCUGUCACUCUACUGGCGAUUCAUUCUCAGAUUCUUAUACAUAAUAAUACAUUCAGUGGAAAACAUGUUAGAUGAUUUAAAGAGGAUUCUGAUAUAAGAGACUUUAAGUUACUGCAGAAACAAAGAGUGAAAUGAAGUUUUGUUAUUGUUUGUCUUGUAAAGAACUGUGUGGAAGAGAGUCACAAGCUGGUCGACUCAUUGGACAACCUUCGUGUAAGUACUGGAAGCUCUUCCAACUUCAAGAAGAAGCCUGUCAUUAUCAUUGUUGUUGGAAUGGCUGGUACACACUGUUUUGACUAUAAUAAAUGUUCUUGAAAAAAACUCACUAUGUUGUGGGUUUAGUGCUGAUGUGAGAUAAUUUGUUAUGUGUAGGCAGCGGGAAAACUAGCUUCCUCCAACGUUUGGUCUGCCAUACAUUUGAUUCAAACAAGCGUGGGUAUGUGUUGAACCUUGACCCUGCUGUUACGUCUCUACCCUUUGGUGCCAACAUCGAUGUAAGAGACACCGUCAAGUACAAGGAAGUUAUGAAGCAGUAUAACUUGGGGCCUAAUGGUGGCAUUAUGACGUCACUCAACUUGUUUGCUACUAGAUUCGAUGAGGUAAAAAUGACUCAUGUUUGUGUUCUCUCGGUCUUUUAUAUUGUUCUGUCUUUUGUUCUAGGUUGUCUCUGUGAUUGAGAAACGUGCAGACCAGCUUGAUUAUGUCCUAGUGGAUACUCCUGGUCAGAUUGAAAUCUUUACAUGGUCUGCUUCUGGUGCUAUAAUCACCGAAGCUUUUGCUUCAACUUUCCCAACUGUUGUCACUUACGUGGUUGAUACUCCACGUUCUACAACCCCAAUCACUUUUAUGAGCAACAUGCUCUACGCUUGUAGUAUUCUCUACAAGACCCGGUUGCCUCUUGUCUUGGCUUUCAACAAAACCGAUGUGGCAGACCACAAGUUUGCGUUAGAGGUUAUCCUUCUUCAACUGUUUUAUAAAUAUUGAACCUAUUUGAUGGUACUGAAACUGGUUUUAUGCAGUGGAUGGAAGAUUUCGAGGUCUUUCAAGCGGAGAUAUAGUCUGAUAACUCGUACACGUCGACCUUAGCUAACAGCCUCUCUCUUUCGCUGUACGAGUUCUACCGGAAUAUAAGAUCUGUUGGUGUUUCUGCAAUCACUGGUGCUGGAAUGGAUGAUUUCUUUAAAGCCAUUGAAGCAAGUGCUGAGGAAUACAUGGAAACUUACAAGUAAUCAUACACUCUUCUCUUUGACUACCAUCUGUCAGCAAGUUUCAUGCUUAUGAUUUGUGUGUUUUUGUUCUUCAGAGCUGAUCUUGACAAGAGAAAGGCGGAGAAGGAGCAGUUGGAAGAAGAGAGAAGGGGAAAGGAAAUGGAGAAACUAAGAAAGGAUAAUGAGAGUUCUCAGGGAGGGACUGUGGUUCUAAACACUGGUUUGAAAGAUAGAGAUGGAGCCGAGAAGAUGAUGAUGAAGACUUUAAAAUAGAAGAAGACAGUGAUGGUGCCACAGAUGAGAAUGACGAAGAGAGGAAUCGUUUCUACGUAUAAAUUAAAAAUUCAAAAGGAACCAGAUUCUUUCAGACAUUAUCAAGUUUGCUUUACCUGGUUUUGUUUGAGCACUGCCUUGUUUUCCUGUUGUGUAGGUAAACCAAAGAGUGCGACAUUGUCUAAUGAUUUAAUGAACUGACUAUUAUAAACUUGAAUUUUUGGAGAUUUUGUACAAAAUAUGCGUUCAUAUAUGCACAAAGGGGUAAACACAUAAAUGUAAGUCGGACAAGGGAAAAAACUAACAAAAAAUUCCACAUUAUCCACAAUCAAGAGUAAAUGAAUGUGUACACUAUGGUGCCCUUAACUUAAACUGUGCUGUGUGGAGGAUGAAGACUCAGUCUUGGUGGAUUUCAUCAAAAGGGGCAGGAGCAAACCUCACAUCUUCAGGCCGUGCAAUCACCACAGGCUCAUCGGCGAAUAGGGCUUUGAGGAAAGAUGGGGUUUUCAAGGGACGUCUAUCCGUCAUUCGUGGAUACACAAAGGCCAAGAAGUAAUACGCAUGACCUGCUAUCAUUCCCUGCAUAUAGGACAAAGCUUAAGAGUAAGGAUGAGGGUAAGGAGGGAAGAAGAAAUGGAUGGAAUCGAGGCAAGAAAGUGCUUACCAGUAAAUCACCCCAGGGACUUGCACCAACAAGGACGGAGAAUCCAAGAAGUACCUGCAUUUUCAGAACUUAGCGUAAGAUAUGAUUCAAACUAUCUCUCUGGUUAGAGCAGUACAAGAAGAAAGUGAAAAAGUUCAACUCACCCAUGGUAAAUACGCAGCUGUAAAAGUGAAAAGGCCAAGGAAACUCAUGUGGACGUAAGGGUUCUGUUUGCUCCAUACAUAAACCUGCAGUAUAGAUGAAACACGUCAAAACGGAAGAUCCCGAGAUGGAUUUUUAAACCAUUAAAGAAGAGACAGAAGUUACCAUCAUGAAAGUCAAAGAGUUGCUGAGGAAAAUGAUUUGGGAGAGUGAGACUGACAAAUAAGGUAUGGUUCCACCAAUGAGAACAAUCCCGGUUAAAACAGUUGCACCGAACAAGAGCAUGUAAAGAAAAUCAGCAGUCUUUCCCCUAAAGGAGUUUUCUUCAAGGAGCUUGCAGUAUCUAGCUAGAAAAAACAUAUGGAACAAGAAGUCCAAAUCUGCCAAAGAAGAUUGAUAGUUCAGAAAAUAAGUCAAAAGUUUAUUUAUAAAGAUAAAUUACGGGGAUGAUUGGUUGGGGCUGUAGAUGCUCUAUACAGCUAAAAUUUAGUCUACAGCUAUAUAUAUGUCAACCAAUCGAGCUUUGCUUUCCUUAAAAAACUCACAGCAAAAAAAUCUCUGGAGAAUCAAAAUAUGACUGUAGAGAGCUUUAUUUCUAGAGCAAAAAAUUAGUGCUUUAGAAAUCUACAGCAAAGAAAGGUACAUCAAAUAAAUCUACAGAUUAAAUUCUACAUCAAAAAAUAUAAAGCUACGGCACUUAUCAAUCAUCCCCUACAACGAAAUGAAUCCAUACAAGUCAUAGCUUAGAAAUAAGCGGGGAAAUUGCCUAUUUUGACCCUAACAAUUCUGAUUGUUAUUAACUUGAUUAACAAAACAUUAUUCAACACAACAUCAUUUACUCUGUAAAUACAAAUUCAGUUCGACUCAUAGGCUAAAACUUGAUCACAUUAUUAAGACAAGUGUGAUCAUAUACAUUAUUAAAUUGCGAAAGAUUAAAACUUUCAAAAAAAUAAUAGACUUCAGGUACCAAUUUCAUUUGAAAAGCAAAUAAAAAAACUAGUCUAAAGCAUACAAAUAAAACAAUGUAAGAUCCAACACAAGAGAUAAAUAAAUUACCCAUAUUACGGAAAUAAAGAAAAUUUGUAACGAGGCGCCAUAACUGAUACUGCUUCACCACAAGGGUUGGAUUCAGGUACAGAUUAUACGGUGAUAUUAUCUGCCAAAACAAUUUAAACCUAUAUUUCAAUCCCAAUCAACUACAUUUUCAUUAAGAAAGGUGGGAUCAAUUCGAUUCAAGAGAAUAAAAACUUAAUCAGAUACCUCGAGGGAACAUCCGACGGUGGUGACAACAGCCGCCGUGAGAUACGACCUUGUUAUAAUCGGCAUCUGCUUAUACCAUUCUUCCACCGCCUGAGCCAUAAUUUGAGAAACAGAUAAUCAAAAUACCUAAUUGAGAUUGGAUUCAAAAACCAGCGCGAUUAAAGUUUUUUUUCUUUUUCCCGCACGGAUGAUGAAUGUGGAGAAGAACAAAUAAAAAAACUUGGUAUUUAUCCGUCUGAAGUGACAAUAGUUCCACGAAUAAGAGAGCGCGUGGUUUACACGGACCAAUCAUGAGUACUUUGCUGACGCUACGUUCUACGAGGCAAAAGACAAAUAGUAAAACGUCUCGGUGUUUUUUUAUCUUCGUUAAACGGCAUGAUGUUGGCACUGAAUAACAUAAAGCAGCGAGAUUACCAACUUUCUGGA